AUUGAACGCUGGCGGCAUGCCUUACACAUGCAAGUCGAACGGCAGCACGGGGGCAACCCUGGUGGCGAGUGGCGAACGGGUGAGUAAUGCAUCGGAACGUGCCCAGUAGUGGGGGAUAACCAGUCGAAAGACUGGCUAAUACCGCAUACGACCCAAGGGUGAAAGCGGGGGACCGUAAGGCCUCGCGCUAUUGGAGCGGCCGAUGUCUGAUUAGCUAGUUGGCGGGGUAAGAGCCCACCAAGGCGACGAUCAGUAGCUGGUCUGAGAGGACGACAAGCCAACCUGGGACUGAGCCACGGCCCAGACUCCUACGGGAGGCAGCAGUGGGGAAUUUUGGACAAUGGGCGCAAGCCUGAUCCAGCCAUGCCGCGUGCGGGAAGAAGGCCUUCGGGUUGUAAACCGCUUUUGGCAGGAACGAAACGGCGCAGGCCAAUACCUUGCGCUAAUGACGGUACCUGCAGAAUAAGCACCGGCUAACUACGUGCCAGCCGCCGCAGUAAUAC
rnacentral:rRNA from 1 species